rnacentral:rRNA from 1 species
GUGGGGAAGCGCAGCUAUGCGUUGAUCUAACCGGUACUAAUGAACCGUGAGGCUUAACCUUACAACGCCGAAG